AAUGGGGCGGCCCUGGCCAGAAGCGGAGGAGGUGGCACCCGGGACCGAGCUGGGGUCUUGGAGGAAGAGAGGAUGGCAUCGUCGAGCCCUGACUCCCCAUGUUCCUGCGACUGCUUUGUCUCCGUGCCCCCGGCCUCAGCCAUCCCGGCUGUGAUCUUUGCCAAGAACUCGGACCGACCCCGGGACGAGGUGCAGGAGGUGGUGUUUGUCCCCGCAGGCACUCACACUCCUGGGAGCCGGCUCCAGUGCACCUACAUUGAAGUGGAACAGGUGUCGAAGACGCACGCUGUGAUUCUGAGCCGUCCUUCUUGGCUAUGGGGGGCUGAGAUGGGCGCCAACGAGCAUGGUGUCUGCAUUGGCAACGAGGCUGUGUGGACGAAGGAGCCAGUUGGGGAGGGGGAAGCCCUGCUGGGCAUGGACCUACUCAGGUGCAGACCCUGCCCUUCCUCAUCUGCCUGACACACCAGAAAUCUGGGGGCUGAGUUUUGACCUGGGCCCAUCCAUCCCUCCCCCAGCCUGGUUCACAGGGGCCUCCUCCUCUCUGCAGACUUUGCCCUUGUGCCUUCGUGAGGAAGGCUGCAGCAGCAGCCACCUUUGGGCCUCUCCUGGCCCAGAAAUAGAGCAGUGGUUAUUUAUUUUCAGUUGAAAUCUCACGUAGAGUCCCGAUUUAUAAAGCCAGUAAUAGUGGAUGGAGCAGCUCUGGGUGGAGAGAG
rnacentral:sRNA from 1 species